rnacentral:rRNA from 1 species
CCUACGGGAGGCAGCAGUGAGGAAUAUUGGUCAAUGGGCGUAAGCCUGAACCAGCCAAGUCGCGUGAGGGAUGAAGGUUCUAUGGAUCGUAAACCUCUUUUAUAAGGGAAUAAAGUGUGGGACGUGUCCUAUUUUGUAUGUACCUUAUGAAUAAGGAUCGGCUAACUCCGUGCCAGCAGCCGCGGUAAUACGGAGGGUCCGAGCGUUAUCCGGAUUUAUUGGGGUUAAAGGGUGCGUAGGCGGCCUUUUAAGUCAGCGGUGAAAGUCUGUGGCUAAACCAUAGAAUUGCCGUUGAAACUGGGAGGCUUGAGUAUGGUAGAGGCAGGCGGAAUUCGUGGUGUAGCGGUGAAAUGCUUAGAUAUCACGCAGAACCCCGAUUGCGAAGGCAGCCUGCCAAGCCAUGACUGACGCUGAUGCACGAAAGCGUGGGGAUCAAACAGGAUUAGAUACCCUAGUAGUC